rnacentral:rRNA from 1 species
UACGUAGGGGGCGAGCGUUGUCCGGAGUUACUGGGCGUAAAGGGCACGCAGGCGGUGCGGCGCGUUUCGCGUGACAGCGGAGGGCUUAACUCUCCGAGGAUGCGAAAGACGGCGGCACUUGAGGGCCAGAGAGGGACGUGGAAUUCCGGGUGUAGUGGUGAAAUGCGUAGAGAUCCGGAGGAACCCCAGAGGCGAAGGCGGCGUCCUGGCUCGCAUCUGACGCUCAGACACGACAGCAUGGGGAGCGAACGGG